GGGGGAGAGGAUUUCGACUAUGGCUAAUUUGCUUGACAAAUAGAGCUGGCAUGAUUGUCAGUGGGGCAAGAAAGAUAGGAAAAGGAGCAAUUUUGAAACUUACCGAGAUUCAUCAUGCUUCUCCAUGCCCGGUAAGAUGUUCUUAUAGUAACUAGUGAAAUUAUUCUGUUGUUUAACAUCAGUUUGAAUCAGUCUGGUUGUAAGCUAGAAAAAAAAGAUGGUAUAGCUUGUUAGCCUAGAUGUACAAAUAUAAUUGAUAUAUCAAUAAUUCAAUAUUUCUAAUAUUUAUAAAUAGUAAAUAAGAAGAAUAAACUAGCAAAUUAUUUACUUGACA
rnacentral:lncRNA from 1 species